rnacentral:rRNA from 3 species
UACAACUUUUGACAACGGAUCUCUUGGCUCUCGCAUCGAUGAAGAACGCAGCGAAAUGCGAUAAGUAAUGUGAAUUGCAGAAUUCAGUGAAUCAUCGAAUCUUUGAACGCACCUUGCGCCCCUUGGUAUUCCGAGGGGCAUGCCUGUUUGAGUGUCAUUAAAUUCUCAAC